AAUGAUGAUGAAAUCAGAAUUAAGCGAACUAAGUUUCGAAAUUAUAGCUGUCAUGUUAAAUAACACUAUAUUGUUAUUCAUGAAACAAAUAUAUCAUGAUCCAAUGGUUAUUUAUACCUAUUAUAAUCCUAAGGUUUCUGAGUUCAAAAUAAUGUAACGAAUAAGAUUUUUUGAAUUUUUUUCCCUUUUACCUAAACAAGGAAAAAACAAAUGCAUUUUGGAUGUACUUAGAGACCCAAGCCAUUGCUUUCUCGGACAAUUUUAAUCGCAAAAUAUUCCUUGAUAUGUUGUGCAAAUUUUCAUACCAGAAAUCUUCCUCCGAUGUACCUUAUUUUCUGAAAGGAAAUGUUAUCACCAUGAUAAUUUAGAGAAGUCGUUUAUUGAUUUUUCAAGCGGUUUUCAUAACUGGGAAAAACGGAAAAUGUACGAAAUGUAGGUAUUAGCAAAAACAUAUUAUGGCCUUUUUUUUUGUGUACAACUUUUCUACCAGCAAUUUCGCUCCGAUUAAAAAUGAUAGUAUUUUUUCUGAGAGGAAAUCAAAGGUACUUUAGGGAGGUAACUUUUGGAUUUCCAGGAGUUUAUCCCAAUAAAUGGAAAAAAAUCGGGAAAAUCGGUACAAUAUUGGAAAAAAUAUGUAGAACCUAUUUAAUUAUUUUAAUAUAAAAUGACAUAUGUAUUGUUGACAAAGCAUCACUUUCAAAUAAACUCCGUUCAGAAUUGUUUCUUCGUAAACAAUGGUUUAUCGUUGCUUACAGAUAUACAACAAAUUAUCUAUAGGUAACAGUGGCUGCAUCCGUCCCCAUUAUCCUAGGACGUCUUUUUUAUCUUUACUUCAUAUAUAUUAAAUAAGAAUAUACUUUUGUUUUUCAAAUGGGAAACCCUCAUCCCUUUUUGAACAUAGAUUCGAAUAGAGUAUAUUUUUAUAGAAAUUUUGAUAUGCAUUACACUAAUAUCAGAUUUACCGUUUAUGUGUUACAACUGUUUAAAGUUUAGACCGGAG